rnacentral:rRNA from 1 species
UAUCUCUGUAGAGUCUGCAUAUCAAUAAGCGGAGGAAAAGAAACUAACUAGGAUUCCCUCAGUAACGGCGAGUGAAGCGGGAAGAGCUCAAAUUUGAAAUCUUAAAGGGUUUCCCUUUACGAAUUGUAGUUUAAAGAAGUGUUUUCUGUUGAGGUUUUGGUAAAAGUUCUUUGGAAUAGGACAUCAUAGAGGGUGAGAAUCCCGUAUUUGACCAUUACUUCCAGCGUUGUGAUACACUUUCAAAGAGUCGGAUUAUUUGGGAAUGCAGUCCAAAAUGGGUGGUAAAUUUCAUCUAAAGCUAAAUAUUGGCGAGAGACCGAUAGCGAACAAGUACCGUGAGGGAAAGAUGAAAAGAACUUUGAAAAGAGAGUUAAACAGUACGUGAAAUUGUCAAAAGGGAAGCGUUUGACACCAGUGUUGUUUUCUCGAAAAUCAAUUAAAAAAGGCAGGAUUUUGUGUUGUAUUGACUUUAUCAGCUUUCUGCACUCUUUUCUUGUCUUUUUUAAUGCACUUUUCGUUUAACAAGUCAACAUCAAUUUCUUUUGUUGUAAAAGGGUCAUUGGAAGGUGGCUUUCUUUUCGGAGAAAGUGUUUAUAGCCUUUGGCCUCUGCAAUCGGAGAGAUUGAGGUCUGCAGCGUAGAUCCUUCGGGGUUAGAUACAGUUAGAUGCUAAGUUAUAGCCUUUUCAUAGACAACUUGUUGACUAUGAAUUCAGUCAUGUAGCUUACUCGCUUAUGCUAUUUUACCUACGCUUAGGAUGUUGACGAUCAGCUGAGCGCG